UAUCUUAGUGGCGACGGGUGAGUAACGCGUGGGUAACCUGCCUUAUACAGGGGGAUAACACUUAGAAAUAGGUGCUAAUACCGCAUAAGCGCACGGGGCUGCAUGGCCCAGUGUGAAAAACUCCGGUGGUAUAAGAUGGACCCGCGUCUGAUUAGCUUGUUGGCGGGGUAACGGCCCACCAAGGCGACGAUCAGUAGCCGGCCUGAGAGGGUGGACGGCCACAUUGGGACUGAGACACGGCCCAAACUCCUACGGAAGGCAGCAG
rnacentral:rRNA from 1 species